rnacentral:misc_RNA from 1 species
AACUUUUAGCAAUGGAUCUCUUGGCUCUCGCAUCGAUGAAGAACGCAGCGAAAUGCGAUAAGUAAUGUGAAUUGCAUAAUUCAGUUAAUCAUCGAAUCUUUGAACGCACCUUGCGCUCCUUGGUAUUCCGAGGAGCAUGCCUGUUUGAGUGUCAUUAAAUUCUCAACCUCACCAAUUUUGUUAUGAAAUUGUGUGUAGGCUUGGAUGUGGGGGUUGCAGGUCCACUUUGUGGUCUGCUCUUCUGAAAUGUAUUAGUGGGUUUGGCCCCUAAUCUAUUGGUGUGAUAAUUAUCUACGCCGUGGAUUGGAUGGCUAUUUUAGACCUGCUUAUAACCGUCCUUCACAGGACAACUCUUGACAUUUUUGACCUCAAAUCAGGUAAGACUACCCGCUGAACUUAAGCAUAUCAAUAAGCGGAGGCU